AGGGGCAUGGUGUAACGGAUAGCAUUGGAGAUUGCGAGUCUCCAGACCCGGGUUCGACUCCCGGUGCCCCUGCCA
rnacentral:tRNA from 2 species